GUCUGGCUGGGGAGGGUGAAGUCGGUGAACUCGAACUCGGAGCCUUGCGUGUCGGCGCCGAGCAGCUCGGCCUCCUCGGUGUCCAGGAAGGAUAAAGCCCAGCCUGAAACGACGUGUACCAGAUCUGCAGCUGCUGGGCUGAAAAGAUGGAGACUGGAAAACAUCCUUGUCCUGGGAAUAUUGUGCAGCAAAAGGAGGGGAAAAAAAAAAAAAACAAACCCAGAGAACACAGGAGUCACCACUUCUGCAGAGAGGCUGAAUUCAUCUUACUUUUAAGGGGAAUAAACUGUUCAGAGCAAAGCAUAACGGGGAGAAAGCAUGAAAUAACAUUUGAGGAUGAAAGUGCAACCGGAGGGGGGGGGAAAAAAAUAUAGUACAAAGCCAGGUGGAUGCUUGCUGCAAACACUUUUAUUUAUUAAUAAACACACCACACUCCAAACGUUUGGCUGCUUGACAGAAUCCUCAAAAAUCUUGGAAAGGGAUCAAAGUUCUGCUGCUCUGCCGGGUUCCUCUCCCUGUCCCUGCCACAGCUCGGGGAAUAACGGUGUGGAAAAGUCCCUCCUGUGCCAGCACGAGCCGGAUUUGUCCCCCGAGGGUGGCGUUGGGGACACUUCGGUGCUGCUGUCUGAGGUGCUGAAGCUGCAGAUCCCCCACCACGGCCUGCGUGGAGCUGGGAAAGCAGCUGGAAAACCAAACUGGUUUCAACUGGAGGUUGAAAUUCUCUUUAUACCAACGCGGCGCAGCGGCACGUGAAUUUCGGGAUAACUCUGCUUUAUUGCAACGCUGGAAGCUCCGGGGGCCACUUUGAAGCUUUUAAGGAUAAAAUGGAUGCACAGCCAGGCUACAGAGCUGCCAGGCUGUAUUUUUUUUUUUUUUUUUGCUUUUGUUUUUUUGGUGUUUUGUGCAAGUUUUCUCCCUCAAAUCCGCGCUGCUGCAGAGGAGAGGCUGUGACUCACCGGGCUUGACUGCUGUGCGGCCAGGAUGGAAUUUAAACAGGCAAAAACUGGCACAAUUCCCUGCUGAGUUUCCCCAUUCCCCGGGCAGGUCAGAAGCUGGGAUUCACAAGAAGAGAAGAAACGAAAAAAAAAAUUGGGAAUGAGUUUUUCCAGUGCAGCUGGGCCACUUCUCCUGAGUUACCACGAGAGGGACACAGAAGGAAAGCAAAAGGAGCUGGGAAAGAAAGAAUCCAAGGACCAGCUCGAGAUUUAAUUGGGGAUAAAUAUUCCCAGAACAAGUCACGGGGAUGUAACUCCAUGAAGGAAAAGGAGGAGAAGAAUUUUGGCCAAAAUCCAGGGAUUUUGAAUGAAGAAAGUUCUCAGAAAUUAAGGAUGGAUGAGGGCAGAGCAGAAGUCCUGGAAUGGAUGUGGACAAGACAUUCCAGUUCUAGGCCACCCUUCCUGGCUCCAGAUGAGAGCAUGGCUUUGCUGGAAGAGGGGAUUGCAAAAGGGGAUGUGAGGGAGGUCUGGAGAGCAAUAAUUUUAAACAGCACUUCAGCCAUGAUGUCAUUUCAGUUGAAAAAUAAUGUUCAAGCUUGGGCAAGCAGAGCCUGGGGCCAGCAGCCAGGGUGGGGAGGAACUGCAGCAAAAUGGAAAGUCCAAAGCAUGGAAGGUCAUGGUGGAAAACCAGAUCAGAAUAACCCUGAAAAAAGGUGGAUAAAACCCCUGGAAUUUUCUAUGAGCAUGAAGAUUCCAAGGAAAUGGAGGGGAGGAAGAUGUUCAAACCCUGGACAGGGGUUUUCACUCCUCUGUCUGGAAGCCAGAAGCCAAUCCUGGAGCACAGGAACAGCCUGAAGGAUUGUUGUGACCCCAAACUGUGAUCCCAGAGUGAUCCCGAGCUCUUCUGCUGGGAUUUAACCCAAAUCCAGCCCAAAUCUGCAUCCACCUCCUUGCCUGAGGAGGCCAAAAGGCUGAAACAACCAAGGGAUGUUGUUCCAUUAUGGUUUGGACAUCAAAAAUGCCAUCUAAAAACUGCUUUGUGGGGUUUCUCCCUCACAGGCUGAAAGGGAGGCUCGCCCUCAGGCCAGGCUGUAGGAUCAGCCCUUUCCAUGGGGUUUUAAGUGAAUUCCCACUAAUCCAGCCAUAGAAAGCUGAGGCUUGGUCAGCCUUGGAUAAAGCCUCGCACAUUUUGUCCUUUUUUCGUUCCCUGUUCCACCACAAACCUCAGCUGGGGAGGAAAAAACCCAACAAAGCAAGCAGAGGAAGGGGCACCUGCAGCUGGAAAUGACAAAAAGCUCCUGUUUUAGCAGGAGAUUUAGGACUUGGAGCUCCCCAGGAGCAACUUCUCUUCCCGCUGUGCUGGGAGCCAGGAAUGAGCUCAGGCUGUGAGAUCAGAUUUUGCUGAGUCUACAGGGUUAGCCUUGUUCUUUCCUCUUUUCCAGAAGUUCUCCUCUCCAAGCCAUGCCUGGAUAUUUGAUUUCCUUGGGAAAUCUCGGCCCUCUCAGCAGCUUUUGCUGCCUUUUGUGUCCGGGACGCUCAACUCUGCCAGCAGAAAAAGUUGCUUUUGUCAUUCCCGUUUCUCCACCUAAGGCGUGGGGUUCCUGGAAUCCCGUGAGCUUUUCCUGGAAGAAGUGGUGCAGGAAUGGCUUGUGCAGAAAGCACUCCAAGGCUGCAGAGAUGUCCAGGAGGCAGCUGGAAUUUAGGGAGAGCUCUUGGAAUUCUCUCUCCUGGUGGGUAUUUCUCUGGCUGUUGAUGAGCACCCAACGUGCUCUGGCUCGAGGGGAAGUUCAGGGAAGAGCCUGGCCCUGUGCUGGCCAAAAGGAAUUGGAAUUUUAUGGAGGGAACACUGCAAAAAUGCAGAGGAUUGACGUGGUCUCCAUCUGGAAUUCAAAUUAAGGGGAUUUGGGACCAUCACAAUCAGGCCAAACCUGUGCCCUCGCGAUUUUUGGGUAGGAAGAGCAGUUCAGAUGAAGCAAGGGCUGACUCUGGAUCUCUCCACAGCCCAUAAACCUGAAAAUUAUUAUGGAAAAAGGGCAGGUUUGCCCUUGAGGCUGUUUUUCAGCUCUGGGUGGGGUCGGGAGAAGGCAUUGCCAGCACUCUCCAGAGCCAGGUCAUUCCUGGGAGAUUUCUGGGGCUGAGAUUUUCUGGAAAACUCCAGAGGUUUGGGUCAGUCUCCAUCCUCCUUCUUUUCUGGAGAGCUUCCCAUCUCUUGUGAGCCUGCACACGCCGUUUUUCCAUUUCUCUGGAAGUGACCAAAAACCCCAAAACAACCCCAGAGCCUGGAUGAUGCUGAAUUUUCCUCUGAGCUCAUCGAGGAUGUCCAAAGCAGCACCAUUUGCAGAUGGGGCCAAGAAUCUGUAAUGUCUCAAAGCUGAGCAAAAUAAAACGUGUGUGAGAGAAGAGAUGGGUGAUAAGGGGAGCUGAGGGGGUGGGAGCCAGGAAAAAGAUGGAUUUGGGAGCCCAGUGCUUGUCCCAAAAGCCAUGAGGGGGUGAAAUGAGCAUUUCCACGAGUGCAGCUGUUUGUUUGAGCCUCUUUAAUGAAUUAUUUUGACUUACAUUUGUUAAUUACCUUCAGGAAGGAGCUGCAGCUCCAGACUGAGAAGAUUCUCCUGCAUGGAAGUGUUUCCCACUGUUCCCUAACUGCUGCAGGUUUUUAUUUCUGGAAUUUCUUCUCUUUCUUAUUUGGAAAUUCCAUCUUUUUAUUGGAGGAAAUCUCUCUCUGGAGAGAGACAAAGGACAGGGUGAGGAAUCCUGAGGGUGUCCCUGUCCUUGCCCAUGCCCAGAGCAUCUCUGUGCAUUCAUCCUGCUCACAGCCAGCAUUAUCCUUGCUGGAGAACCUCUGGAAUGCCUCAGGAAAUCCCUGGGAAGGGGGCACAGGGUGAGGAACUCACACACCAGGGGCUGUCCUGGGGUUGUCCCUCUCUGCUCAGCCCCCAGGAGCUGGGGUCCUCCCGUGCUCGGGAUUUUGGGAGCAGUUCCCAAAGGAAUUUAAAGCAGUUUUUGAGGAAGAAAACUUCCUUCUGGUGUGCUGGGGGUGAAAUAUCAGCUGAAAGGGGGACAGGCAAAAAGGAUCGAGACAAAGUUCUGCUCCACCACCCCCACAAGAGGAAGAAUUUGAUAAUAAAUCCAUUUUUUUGUUCAAGAUUCUCGUUUUGCCAAAGAACAACGAGACCACUUCAAAGAACAACGUGGAGAAUUUGCUGGUGCUUCCUCUACCCCUCUUUUCUUUGUGUCCUUCACAAAUCUCCCCCUUCCACAGCACAAAACCCCACCUGUCCUGGAGAGUUCUCAUUGUAAUUCAGAAAGGUUUUCUCCCCCAUUUUCCUAUAUAAGAAAAAACCCUUUUUCUUCACACAAGUGUUAAAUGACUCCUAUUAAAACCGAAUUUAAGUGAAUUUAAGUGAAUUUAAUCUUUUCCUGAGACGAGGCAGAGAAUAUUACAUUCAAUAAUCAAUUUAUUUCCCCCCUUUUCUCUGUCCCACUCAGUAUUUCCAGUUGGGAGAAAGGGAAUUAACACACAGUGAUCGAUCCUUUCUUCCUCUCCUUACAACUGAAAUCUCAUUUCCAGCAGGGAAAAGGUUUCUGUCUCCUGCCAAGAGCUGGCUGCAAAAUCAUUUGUACAGAGCACCUCUGAUCACUGGUGUCCUGAAAAGACCUGAUUGCUGGGUUUGCCUUUUUCCAGCUGUUAAAUUAUCCCAGAUAUCUUCCUGCUGGAUUUGUUGAGGGGUUUUUUAAUGGAAAAAGGGAAAAUUUGGAGGGGAAACCCAGCCCCUCUUGCAGUCAGUGAGAGGAAGAGGCAAGAGAUGUGGCAUUAAUUUGGAAUUAAUUAAUUAGAAGUUGGUUUUUGCUGUAUGUUCAGGAGUUUCGGGCAGGUUUCCUUAAGAAAAGCCCUGGCAUGGAAAAUCUCUGGAGUUCCCUUGGGAUGCCCACGGAAAGGGCAGCUCUGGGGGCAGCGUGGCCACAACUCCUGGGAAAUUCCCAGCUCCCCACUUCUCAUCCCCAUUUUCCCUGGGGGCUGUGCCCAACUCCAUCUCCAGGGGAUCCAUUCCUCAGCUCCCUGGGAAAAACAAGAUUUUCUCUGGAGUUCCAACCCAAAUAUUUCCCUUUCCCCCUGGAUUUGGCUGUGCUCCCUGUCCCUGUUUUUAGGGGUGAAUGUUGUCAGGUUCCUUGGGAUCCUCCCUGUGGAAAGGAGAGAUGGAAGCUCUGUCCUGGAUGCCCCCAGCUGUGCAGCAACCUGAGGACACCAGAUCCUCAUCCGAGCCAUCCUUGGGGUCACAGAAAUGCCACUUUCCCUACACAAAAUGUGGAUUUUUGCUCAGCUCCAGCAGCGAGGAGAUCCCCAGGAUCCCUGAGCUCCAGGGCUCUGCCUGUCCAGCGCUCAGUGCCAGAUGUUCCUUUGGAGUUAAUAAUUCUUGGGACGCGUUCAAAGCCAGCUCAAUGCUCCCAAAGAGAGGUCCCAAAGCUAUUAAAGCGUGGACGUGCUGUCUGCCCACCUCCACCGUGAUCUCAGAGCCCUGAGCACUUCCAGUCCUGCCUGCGAGGAGCCAAUUCCUGUUUACUCCUGCCUGGAGACCCCUGGCUUCCAAAAUUCAGGAGCUUUGACCACAGAGAUCAAUGGGAUGCAUCAUUUAGGGGAAAAGGAAAAGCCAGGCUGCUUCGAAGAGCUUUUGUUUUUAAGCUCUGCCAUCCCAGGGAGUUUUGGGAACGCGGAGCAGUAAAUCUGUGUUAUUGUCAUUAUGAGUCUGGGAAGUGUUUUUCAGGAGAAAAUCCCAAAAAAGAAAGGGAGAUCACAGCCAAAGGACUUUUAGUGGGAAAAGCUGAAGACUCUGGGCAUUAAAGUCCCAACAAUUCCCAGCAAGCAGCGAUGGCUUCGCUCUCUCAUCGCUUUGCACCUCUCUCAGACAAAACAUCCCUCAGCCUUCCCCGAUUUUCCAGUACAAUUCCAGUUAAUUAUUCCCGGUUUCCUCAGCGUGUCUGAGCUCCCGCUGGCUGCUGGAGGAAGAGGAGCUCAUUGUUACCAAUGAGCCUAAUCCAGAGCUCGAAAUCUUUUAUUAUCCCUGCUAGAAAACACCGUGAAUAGCGAAGGAAAAAAUGCGAGGCCGUUUCCUGCGGGGUUUUCAGCGCCCUCCGGGGGCUGGGAUUGCGCCAUGGAUGGUGCUGGGUGGCUCUGGCUCAUUCCCACAUUCCCACAUCCCCAUCUGCAGGGCUCCUUCCCGGGCAGGACGGGACACAGCUCCUCCCGACCCCAGCCUCCCCUGGCAUUUGUCACCCUCUGUCCCUGCCAGGGGUGGGGGGCGAGUUUGGGGCACUGUGGGAGCCCAGCACACCCCUCUGGCUGCCCUGGCUGGCUGAGACCCUGGCAGGGGGCUCGGGGACCUUGGCACCAAGUCAA